rnacentral:lncRNA from 1 species
AUGGAGCUUUAUAGCACGUCGAUAGAUGGUUCUCCAGUGAGAGUGGUACAUGUGAUCUUUUGAUCUGAGAUCAUCAUGGUAUCUUGUAUAUAUGGAUCCUUACUUUGGUUUAUUCUCUAGCAUGCCACUUUGAGAUGUAUGGGAUAUUCUGGGUAUGGUGAAGUGUGCAUGAAGGUUGUGAGUAGUCAACAAGAAAUUGGUCACUCU